rnacentral:tRNA from 1 species
GCCGGUGUGGCGGAAUGGCAGACGCACCGCACUCAAAAUGCGGCGGGCAACCGUGCCGGUUCGAGUCCGGCCACCGGCACCA